UACAGAGGGGGCAAGCGUUAUUCGGAAUUAUUGGGCGUAAAGGGCGCGUAGGCGGCUUUUCAAGUGACGGGUGAAAGCCCUCGGCUUAACCGAGGAACUGCCUGUCAGACUGGAAGGCUUGAGACCGGGAGAGGUGAGUGGAAUUCCCAGUGUAGCGGUGAAAUGCGUAGAUAUUGGGAGGAACACCAGUGGCGAAGGCGGCUCACUGGCCCGAUACUGACGCUGAGGCACGAAAGCGUGGGGAGCAAACAGG
rnacentral:rRNA from 1 species